GACGGAGGAUGCAAGCGUUAUCCGGAAUGAUUGGGCGUAAAGCGUCCGCAGGUGGCAGUUCAAGUCUGCUGUCAAAGACCGGGGCUUAACUUCGGAAAGGCAGUGGAAACUGAACAGCUAGAGUAUGGUAGGGGCAGAGGGAAUUCCUGGUGUAGGCGGUGAAAUGCGUAGAGAUAGGAAGAACAUCGGUGGCGAAGGCGCUCUGCUGGACCAUAAC
rnacentral:rRNA from 1 species